rnacentral:rRNA from 1 species
GUGUCAGCCGCCGCGGUAAUACGAAGGGGGCUAGCGUUGCUCGGAUUGACUGGGCGUAAAGGGCGCGUAGGCGGUUUGCAUAGUCAGACGUGAAAUUCCUGGGCUUAACCUGGGGGCUGCGUUUGAUACAUGCAGGCUUGAGUUCGGAAGAGGGUCGUGGAAUUCCCAGUGUAGAGGUGAAAUUCGUAGAUAUUGGGAAGAACACCGGUGGCGAAGGCGGCGACCUGGUCCGAUACUGACGCUGAGGCGCGAAAGCGUGGGGAGCAAACAGGAUUAGAAACCCCAGUAGUCC